GCCCAGAUGGCGGAAUUGGUAGACGCGCUAGGUUCAGGUCCUAGUGCCCGUUUAGGGUGUGGAAGUUCGAGUCUUCUUCUGGGCA
rnacentral:tRNA from 1 species